GAUGAACGCUGGCGGCGUGCCUAAUACAUGCAAGUCGAGCGAACAGACGAGGAGCUUGCUCCUCUGACGUUAGCGGCGGACGGGUGAGUAACACGUGGAUAACCUACCUAUAAGACUGGGAUAACUUCGGGAAACCGGAGCUAAUACCGGAUAAUAUAUUGAACCGCAUGGUUCAAUAGUGAAAGACGGUUUUGCUGUCACUUAUAGAUGGAUCCGCGCCGCAUUAGCUAGUUGGUAAGGUAACGGCUUACCAAGGCAACGAUGCGUAGCCGACCUGAGAGGGUGAUCGGCCACACUGGAACUGAGACACGGUCCAGACUCCUACGGGAGGCAGCAGUAGGGAAUCUUCCGCAAUGGGCGAAAGCCUGACGGAGCAACGCCGCGUGAGUGAUGAAGGUCUUCGGAUCGUAAAACUCUGUUAUUAGGGAAGAACAGAUGUGGAAGUAAAUAUGCACGUCUUGACGGUACCUAAUCAGAAAGCAACGGCUAACUACGUG
rnacentral:rRNA from 1 species